rnacentral:tRNA from 1 species
GGGGCCGUCGUCUAGCAUGGAUAGGACACCAGCCUGCGGAGCUGGGGGUCAGGGGUUCAAGUCCCCUCGGUCCCGCCA